CAACAGUUUUUUGACAUCCUUUUGUGAAGACUGGUGCUGCAUUGGGGAAGACAGAGUACAUUUAUAUACUUGGGAGAAGGGGAUAUGAAUAACUGAAAGUGCCCAGGCUUUUGACACACUCUUCCUUGUUAGUUCCCUGACCCGCAGAGAUGGACAGUGGUCAAGGUACUGUAGAUUGUGUUAUGACACCAGGUUAACCUUUGGUCCUCUCCUGUUCAUUCUCAGAAAUGUACAGUGGUGUCUCCCUGAACAGAGGAGGAAAGGAGGUGCUUGGUCACAGCUCUGGCUUUUAUCACCCCUGCCUCUCCCAAGAGAUCCCCUGUAGCACUGUCCCACCGGAGUUUGCCUGGAGUGGCCAAGUUCAGAUUUUCAUCCAGAAAGCCAGAAGUCUUCAAAUAACAGGUUAAUUAUGCCAAGAUUUGGGCCAUGAAGACUGCAGAGGAGAGAAAAGGAAGAGAAAGUGUCUACAGCACUCACCAAAGACAAGGGAAAAUCAGGCCCAGAGUGGAGGGUCUUGGAGUAGCAGAGGUCUGCAACCUACCGGGAGUGGAGAGACGAUGUGCUCCUGCCGGCUGCCUUACCCACAAGAGACACGCCACCCAGCUCUAAGCUAAUUGUAUAAUAUAAAAAUCCUUUCAAGAUGAUUUACCUAAACAGAUAACUCGGAUAGCUCUAUUCAUGGCUAGAGCAUUCCUGAUAAAUGAGAAAGGAUAACUACAUUUUUUUUUAAGAUUUUUUCCUGUCUGCAUGUAAGAUACAGUUUUUCUAGCAGAUUCCUAUCCUUGGAAUACAUUUCUUGCUGUGAGGGCCAGUGCUGAGGCAAAGGUAGUAGAUUAUAGCUUUCUGUCAUCAAGUACCAUUUGUUUCUACUAGCUUCAACAGAAAUGCCACCCCAAAAAAUCUCCUCACCUAGGUUUAAUUGUGAAAAAAGUCCCCAAAUCUUUCUCAUUUUGUCCUAAUCUUGGUUUACUUCUGAGAUUAUUUACUAUUAACUGCAGUAGGAGAAGGAUUUCACAAGCUCAGAUUUGUCCUUUUCAGAAAGCAUGUUAAAUUAAAACAUAUCUAUGUAUGAAUGUGUAUAUAAUAUCUGUACAUAAAGCCUUAUACAUAUGGUAAUGUGUUUUAGAAUACUUUGAGUGAGAGCCUGGAUGGAUGAACCACUUGUGAAUAUGGGCAUAAAUUGCUCGGUGCUUCAGAAAAGGUGUCUGGGGCAAGUGAGAGUGCUGAAUACUCUCAGUAACUCACGGCACUGUCAGGAUGCUACAAAUGUGAAUAGUGCCAGUACAUCCAAGCUGAGAACAGCUAUUCUUUUUUAAUCAUUUACUACACCAUGCUACAGGAAGCCAGCUUACACGUUGUCAUGGUUUUAGCUGGGAUGGAGUUAAUUUUUUUCACUGCAGCUGGCAUAGUGCUGUGCUUUGGACUUAGUAUGAAAAUAGCAUUGAUAACACACUGAUGCUUUGGUUGUUGCUGGGCAGUGCUUGUACUAGUCAAGGGCUUUUCCAGCUUCCCGUGCUCUGCCAGGUGCACAAGAAGCCGGGAGGGGAGGGGGCACAGCUGAGAGAGCGGAUUCAAACUGACCAAAGGGAUAUUCCAUGUCAUGUAACGUCAUGCCCAGUAUGCUACCUGGGAGGGGCUGGCCGGGGGAGGGAGGCAGUAAUUGUGGCUCGGGGACCGGCAGCAUUGGUUGGCGGGUGGUGAGCGGUUGUAUCAUUUGUGUUUCUGUGUUUUUCCCUUUUUCCUUUUUAUUUUGUUAUAGUUGUUGUUGUUGUUAUAAUGAUUAUUAUUAUUUUAAUUAUUAAACUGUUCUUAGCUCAACCCACAAGUUUUUUUUUAUUCUGCGUUUGCUCUUCCAAUUCCCCCCCGUCCCACAGGGGUGGGGGGAGUGAGCGAGCGGCUGCGUGGUGUUUAGUUGCCGACAGGGGCUGAACCACGACACACGUUUUCAUAGCAGAGCAUGUGCCCACAGUGCAGCAUAGAAAGGCACAAACCCCUCAAGGGUGUGGAACUAGGGGGUUGAAAAGGGAAAUAUUUUGCGGAGAGUAUCUGUGGGGAGCGAGGUGUCCUGCAGCAAGAUCAGAAGGU